rnacentral:rRNA from 1 species
GACAGAGGGUGCUAGCGUUGUUCGGAAUUACUGGGCGUAAAGGGCGCGUAGGCGGUCUGUUAAGUUCGGUGUGAAAUCCCCCUGGCUCAACUGGGGGAACUGCGCUGAAAACUGGCGGACUCGAGUACCGGAGAGGAGAGUGGAAUUCCUGGUGUAGCGGUGAAAUGCGUAGAUAUCGGGAAGAACACCCGUGGCGAAGGCGGCUCUCUGGAACGCAACUGACGCUGAGACGCGAAAGCGUGGGGAGCAAACAGG